GAGGCGAGGUCGGCAUCCCUUCCUGGUAUUUGAAGACGCGGUUGACCAUGGUGUGUACGCUUUAUUUAUGACGUAGGACACAUGGUCUACUUCUUCUCGAUAUCACAUCUUCGCCUUGGAAGACCUUCC
ensembl:miRNA MIR1197 microRNA mir-1197